rnacentral:rRNA from 1 species
AUUGAACGCUGGCGGCAUGCCUUACACAUGCAAGUCGAACGGUAACAGGUCUUCGGAUGCUGACGAGUGGCGAACGGGUGAGUAAUACAUCGGAACGUGCCCGAUCGUGGGGGAUAACGCAGCGAAAGCUGUGCUAAUACCGCAUACGAUCUACGGAUGAAAGCGGGGGAUCGCAAGACCUCGCGCGGACGGAGCGGCCGAUGGCAGAUUAGGUAGUUGGUGGGAUAAAAGCUUACCAAGCCGACGAUCUGUAGCUGGUCUGAGAGGACGACCAGCCACACUGGGACUGAGACACGGCCCAGACUCCUACGGGAGGCAGCAGUGGGGAAUUUUGGACAAUGGGCGCAAGCCUGAUCCAGCCAUUCCGCGUGCAGGAUGAAGGCCUUCGGGUUGUAACUGCUUUUGGACGGAACGAAAGCUACUUUCUAAUACAGAGUGGUCAUGACGGUACCGUCAGAAUAAGUCACCGGCUAACUACGUGCCACG